UGGGGAAUUUUGCACAAUGGGCGCAAGCCUGAUGCAGCAACGCCGCGUGAACGAUGAAGGUCUUCGGAUCGUAAAGUUCUGUUGCAGGGGAAGAUAAUGACGGUACCCUGUGAGGAAGCCCCGGCUAACUACGUUCCAGCAGCCGCGGUAAUACGUAGGGGGCUAGCGUUAUCCGGAUUUACUGGGCGUAAAGGGUGCGUAGGUGGUCUUUCAAGUCGGUGGUUAAAGGCUACGGCUCAACCGUAGUUAGCCUCCGAAACUGGAAGACUUGAGUGCAGGAGAGGAAAGUGGAAUUCCCAGUGUAGCGGUGAAAUGCGUAGAUAUUGGGAGGAACACCAGUAGCGAAGGCGGCUUUCUGGACUGCAACUGACACUGAGGCACGAAAGCGUGGGUAGCAAACAGG
rnacentral:rRNA from 1 species